rnacentral:lncRNA from 1 species
UGAGGCACAGAAAGCCCAAGCUCUUGCACAAGGAUCAGAAGGGGGUAUAACCAGAAUUUGUUUCUCAGCAUCCUGACCAACAAUUAUUUUACCUACUAAACAGGGAAGCCUUUCAAAUAUAAUCCAGGGUAUCCGCUUCAUUUUACAACUAAAGAAAUGAAGGCUGGGUAAGGAUAAAGGACUCACAAAGAUCGUGUGUUUAGUUUCUGCUGGUCUAGACAUCUGGGUUCCAAAAGAAGAAUGCAUCUCCCAGGAGACAUGACAAUGAUUCCAUUCAACAGGAAGUUGAGACUGCCACCUGAACACUUUGGGCUCCUCAUGCCUCUGAAUCAACGGGCAAAGAAGAGAGUUAUAGAUCCUAACCACCCAGGAGAAAUUCGGUGGCCACUACACAAACAGAAUGUAUUAAUAGUAAUUAAAUUUAUAUCAUAGUCUUGAAAUUACAAGAUAUCCAACUUGAAGCAUGCAUUGGGAGAAGAAUAAAUAUCAUCCAAAGACAAAAAAACAACAACACGACGUUGUGUUCUACUAAAAGGAAAAAAGCCUAUUUUCAGAUGUACUUAGAAGAGAUACACCAUGUUAGCUUUUCUGACUCUGCGGCCAGGUGUUUGUAUUUAACUCCACGGUGAGGAGACUCAUCUUCUGACGGACCUAACCUAUACCAUCAAGCUCCAGCACCACAAGCAAAGACAAAAACCUUGCGGAAACUAUUUAACUAACUCCCACAAUUGCAUAAGGAUCUAAAUGAAAAUAUUUCUGCAGUGAACCAGUUCUAUUGUUUUAAAUAUCACCCUUAUUAAAGAGAGCUUUGACACUUUU